rnacentral:tRNA from 1 species
GGGGUUGUGGCUCAGUGAUGGAGUGCUCGCCUAGCAAGUGUGAGGCACUGAGUUUGAUCCUCAGCACCACA